rnacentral:rRNA from 1 species
GUCUCGAGAAACUGCCUUGGAUGAGGGGGAUACUACUGGAAACGGUAGCUAAUACCCGCAUAACGUCGCAAGACCAAAGAGGGGGACCUUCGGGCCUCUUGCCAUCAGAUGUGCCCAGAUGGGAUUAGCUAUAGUGGGGUAACGGUCACCUAGCGAGAUCCCUAGCUGGUCUGAGAGGAUGACCAGCACACUGGAACUGAGACACGGUCCAGACUCCUACGGGAGGCAGCAGUGGGGAAUAUUGCACAAUGGGCGCAAGCCUGAUGCAGCAUGCCGCGUGUAUGAAGAAGGCCUUCGGGUUGUCAAAAGUACUUUCAGCGGGGAGGACAGGGGGGUUCGGGGGGGUUAAAUAAACCCAACAGGGCAAAUUUUGGGAACCGGUUUAACCCCCCGGAGAAAAGAAAGGCCACCCGGGGUUAAACUUUCCCGGUAGGCCCAAGCAGCCCGGCGGGUACAACUACACCGGGAAGGGGGUCUGCCCAAAACAGGGUUACAACACCGGGGACAAANAUUACCCUGGGGGGGCCGUCAAAANCGCCACACCGACCAAAGGGCCGGCCUUUNGGACAACAAUCCGGACAUCACUUCGAGCGAUACCCC